CCUACACACACCUCAUCCACCUACUGACCCUACCCUGCUGUGGUCUGAGGUAACACACCUACACACACCUCAUCCACCUACUGACCCUACCCUGCUGUGGUCUGAGGUAACACACCUACACACACCUCAUCAGACUACUGACCCUACCCUGCUGUGGUCUGAGGUAACACACCUACACACACCUCAUCAGACUACUGACCCUACCCUGCUGUGGUCUGAGGUAACACACCUACACACACCUCAUCAGACUACUGACCCUACCCUGCUGUGGUCUGAGGUAACA